rnacentral:snRNA from 1 species
CGUGGUGUCCGGUGCGCCCCC